rnacentral:rRNA from 1 species
UACGGAAGGCAGCAGUGGGGAAUAUUGCACAAUGGGCGCAAGCCUGAUGCAGCCAUGCCGCGUGUAUGAAGAAGGGCCUUCGGGUUGUAAAGUACUUUCAGUCGUGAGGAAGGUGUUAAGGUUAAUAACCUUAGCAAUUGACGUUAGCGACAGAAGAAGCACCGGCUAACUCCGUGCCAGCAGCCGCGGUAAUACGGAGGGUGCGAGCGUUAAUCGGAAUUACUGGGCGUAAAGGGCACGCAGGCGGUUAAUUAAGUUGGAUGUGAAAUCCCCGGGCUUAACCUGGGAAUGGCAUUCAAGACUGGUUAGCUAGAGUCUUGUAGAGGGGGUAGAAUUCCAUGUGUAGCGGUGAAAUGCGUAGAGAUGUGGAGGAAUACCGGUGGCGAAGGCGGCCCCUGGACAAAGACUGACGCUCAUGUGCGAAAGCGUGGGGAGCAAACAGGAUUAGAUACC